rnacentral:piRNA from 1 species
UGCACUGGGCCGAUUUCCGAGUUC